rnacentral:rRNA from 1 species
UCCUGGCUCAAAUUGAACGCUGGCGGCAUGCUUUACACAUGCAAGUCGAACGGCAGCACGGGAGCUUGCUCCUGGUGGCGAGUGGCGAACGGGUGAGUAAUGCAUCGGAACGUACCCAGUAGUGGGGGAUAGCCCGGCGAAAGCCGGAUUAAUACCGCAUAUUUCCUGAGGGAGAAAGCGGGGGACCUUCGGGCCUCGCGCUACUGGAGCGGCUGAUGUCGGAUUAGCUAGUUGGUGAGGUAAAGGCUCACCAAGGCGACGAUCCGUAGCUGGUCUGAGAGGAUGAUCAGCCACACUGGGACUGAGACACGGCCCAGACUCCUACGGGAGGCAGCAGUGGGGAAUUUUGGACAAUGGGGGAAACCCUGAUCCAGCCAUGCCGCGUGAGUGAAGAAGGCCUUCGGGUUGUAAAGCUCUUUCAGGUGGAAAGAAAUCACUCCCCCUAAUACGGGUGGUGGAUGACGGUACCAUCAGAAGAAGCACCGGCUAACUACGUG